CUCUCGACAACGGAUAUCUCGGCUCUCGCAUCGAUGAAGAACGUAGCGAAAUGCGAUACUUGGUGUGAAUUGCAGAAUCCCGUGAACCAUCGAGUCUUUGAACGCAAGUUGCGCCCGAAGCCACUUGGCUGAGGGCACGCCUGCCUGGGUGUCACGCAUUGU
rnacentral:rRNA from 1 species